rnacentral:lncRNA from 10 species
UUAAACCUCCCCUGAGCCUCAGCUUCUUCAUCUCUAAGAUGGAAAAACUCCCCUCUAUCUUAAAAGAUUGCAAUGAGGAUGAGAUGCAGUAAGAAUGCAUGUGCAGUAUCUGACGUGAUGAGCAUAUUCAGUUGAUGCUGGCUAUUAUUAUUUAUGGAAAAAUUGUCCUUGGUUUCAUCUCCUUUCAGUCUCUUACUGAAGUAGCUUGAGAGCUUUAGGUAAAACAACUUCCAACAGAUGGAUCUAAGAAGCAACUGGAGAUCAUUUGCCAUGAUGGUGAUGAAGCAUUAAUUAAGUUGGAAUUACCACCCAAACUCAACCAGGCAGGAGAGAUCCUGGAGGAAAUCCAGUCUAUUGGUUUCUCAGCAGAAGAAGAGCUCUGCUUAUGGUGAAAGACAUCAAAGAGCCUGAGUGUGAAAGCAAGAUGACAAGAUACAGCAUUCUUUUCACAAGAAAUGCAGAGAAACAGCCCGGAGGUGACCUGUGCUUGCUGCAGCCCAUUCCCCAAACAGUGGGCCAGGGACCUCUGUCGUAAUUAUGCUUGCAACUCAGCGAUGUAUUUCAUCACCCGGUAGUGGGGCUGCUGCCAAUUCCACCUCUACAAAAUGUUGCAGAGUAGAGACAUUUUACAGGAAGAAUGUUGUCAGAGUGCUGUUCAUCUCCACCGAGGCACAGACAGAAGAAUAAAUAAACCCAGGCUUGCAAAGUGGGGGUUGGUUAUGGUCUCACCCUCUUUCUCCAUCCCUUUAUGAGUGAGACCACCAUGGCUUGGGAGAGUUAACCAAUUUCUGUAAGGUUUCGCAGCGAAGGUCAGAAAUAGAACUAGGACUAGAAUCUACAGAGAUUGAGAAGAACAAAACUCUUCAUCGUUAGGAAGUUAAACCCAGGAGUGUGACUGAAUGGAUGGGAAAUGAAAAACAGGAUUGAUUUUCUUACCAUUGUGACAGCUCACAAGAAUCUUUCAAAAUCCUUCCCAGGCCUAAGAGGCUAUAAACCACGAAAACAACAACAACGAAGAGGAAAAGCCAGGAGUUGGGUGGCACGUGGGCAGGAGAUACUGGAGGACGCAAGGCAGGCAGAUCAUCGAGGAAGACCACUGGGCUGAAAUUUUACCACAGUUUGGCCUCAAGCAGAGAAAUGAGAGCUUCCAAUAUAUAAGGCGCCCUUCUGGUUGCUGCUGAGCACACAGAGAUGAAGAAGCACCCGCCAGAGGGCAGGGAGAGGAAUAAUGCCGCAGUGUCAGACACAGAUCUGACAGAGUCACUGUCAUGUACAUUUCCUCACAGUGAGCCCCUGAGCUAAGUAUUGUUUUCUCUAUUUUACAGAAAGAAACAUCAAACCGUGACAGAAAAAGAGUCAGUGUGAUGUAUUUGCGCAUUAUCUUCCUGUCUCUCUAUGUAAGAAUUUAGGCAGAAAUAGGUAAAUACGUAGAGAAACUAGGAUGUGUUCAUGAAAACUGAUGUUUCAACAAAUCUAAAGACAGUAACAUGGGAAAAUGAAAGAAGCUCUCUGGUGUCUGUAGCCUCACCAUCUCCUCACGCACAAGGAUGCGUCUCCUCGAAAGCGCCCUUGCUCUGCAGCUGAACCAGAGGCUGCCUGACCCUCUC